rnacentral:rRNA from 1 species
AACAGGUUGAUAUUCCUGUACCACCUAUAAUCGUUUUAAUCGAUGGGGGGACGCAGUAGGAUAGGCGAAGCGUGCGAUUGGAUUGCACGUCUAAGCAGUAAGGCUGAGUAUUAGGCAAAUCCGGUACUCGUUAAGGCUGAGCUGUGAUGGGGAGAAGACAUUGAGUCUUCGAGUCGUUGAUUUCACACUGCCGAGAAAAGCCUCUAGAUAGAAAAUAGGUGCCCGUACCGCAAACCGACACA